CGUAAUGUAGCUUAACCAAAGCAUCUCGCUUACACCGAGAAAAUGUCCGUGAAAGCCAGACCAAUACGA
rnacentral:tRNA from 1 species